AGUCAACCUCCAGUAACCAGUCCCCUAAGCCACCUUGAUCCCCAGAACCGCCUAGGUCACCAGAGCAGCUUCUCCGCGUCUGAGGCCUGGACCCAGGCCUGGACCUACGCCGGGAUCUGCGCCAGGGCUGGUCACAAGGGGGCCGCCCCCUGGCCCCUCCCCUCUCGACGUGCGGCCCCCAGCCCCGGAUUCUGUCCUCCUGCAGUGAUGAAUGGCACCGCUGUCCCGCGCAGGCAGACAAACCUCUUCCUGAAACAGAUUCUACUGGAGUCAACAACAGCGACAGAUUUUAGAGAAAGCCCCUGGAAUGGAGACUCGGGCUUCACCUGGUUCCAGGCCCACUCUCUACAGAAAAAAAAAAAAAAA